AAACGAAAGCAAAUUUGCUGAUUCUCCAAAUAUUGACUUUUAUUGGCGAAUAAGAGUGUUGCAACAAGGAUGUGCUAGACCCUGCCACAGUGAGCUGUUAACUUAUUCAAAGAACCUGAUGCAAAUGGAGAUUUUUUAACUUAAAAUUUUUCAGCUCAUAUGGGAUAUUAAUACUGUACAUAUUAACAGGGCAAUGGAUGUUUCCACGCAUGUAUACAGAUUGUAUACAUCACAUGAUGUAUGGUGUAGAUUGAGUUAACAUAGUUACCUCUUCAAGCAGCUAGCGUUACCUUUUGAGAUAUGCAUUGCACUGUUACCAUAUUCCUCUCUGUGCAUGGGUGAGAGUGUUACCACCGGGAGCUUCUUAAAGGCAAAAACAAAGCAAUUUCAAGAGAUGUUUUGAAACAAUUAAGUGAGCUUUGUUUUAGGUAACUUUUCCCAGAUGCCAGCUAACAUACAACACACUUAGCUGUAAUAUUUGGUUGGUUAAGUGUCUUGGUGCAUUUCAUUUUGGGUGAUUUUGUGGUUGAGAUGCAUCCUCGUGUUUGGUUAAGGAACAUAUAUAUUUAGACCAGAACAGUGUCCAUGCUUGCUGCCUCCCUAGGAUUCCCUAAGAGUCAUCUUACUGAGCUAAGGAGAACAAAGGACUAGGACAGGCCUGAGAAUCAUCCCUUAGUAUUUCUUAAGGUUACCCUUCAGUGGGGAAUGUAGGCUUGACUUCCCAUUUGCUAGUUUAUUGACGUACACUUUCCGUCAAACAAUGGAAACUGUGAACCCUGUUGACUACUGGUUGUCAUGCUCAGUGCUAGGACAUGAAUGCAUUCUGUUGAAUGGAAGACACAAUGAUUUGGGCAAAUCCUAGGGAAAAAAAAAUGUGUUGUUGUUGUUGUUUUUCAAGACAGGGUUUUUCUGAGUAGCUUUGGAGCCUAUCCUGGCACUCACUCUGUAGACCAGACUGGCCUCGAACUCACAGAGAUCCGCCUGCCUCUGCCUUCCAAGUGCUGGGAUUAAAGGCGUGCACCACCAACACCCAGCGAAAAAUACAAGUUUUAUAGCUUUCGUGCACCACUAACACCCAGCGAAAAAUACAAGUUUUAUAGCUUUCAUUUAAAAAACUAUUUUUGUGACACUCUUUUAUCAAGACCAAAUGGAUCUGUUUCAGAUUGACUUGAUCACUGUUGCAAGAUGGUAAACACUACAGGAAUGUAGGACUAUGACCCUGUUCAAUUGGAGCACAAUGAGAUCAUCUGGAAAUCAUCAGCAAACAAUGACCCAGCAUGUGGGAAGCACUGGAAUAAUUUGAGUUCAAGGACUGCAGGAGAAUCCAGGUGGACCUGAGACUUUAAUGAGCCAUGAGUGUUCCAGCAUCUUCUCCUGCUCUCAGUGUCUCCUUAAUGUUCACUUGGUGCUAAGCAGGGGCAGUGGAGACAGAGACAACCGACUGCCUGAGCUAUUUUCUCCGGAACCAUCAAGAGCUGAUUCUGCAUUGUGGUGGGAAAGACCCUGCUCAGCUGACGUUCAACCACAGCUUCGCUUGUUUUCAGAUUCAGCAAAGAGUGCAUUGCUUAGAAAGAGAGAAAUGCCUUCAGCUAUAGGAAAUUCUUCCUAUCCAGCCUUCUAAGAAGUGAGCUCUGCCCAAUACCUUGUGUAGAUUCAUCAGUGAAAGUGCUAACUAAAGGAUGGAUUUCCACACCUCUGCCUUACUGUCCAGGAAUUUCCAGAGCAACACUAUUGCCCAAGGAAGCACAAGAAACAGCAGGCACGGUUUCAGCCUCUUUCGGAAUGCAUCAUUGUUCUGCACAAUCAUAUACUGGAACCAGUAAAGUUCGCACCCUUUCUUGAGACACCUUGUGUUUUCUUUCUGGCCAUGAAGGAACUAAAGUCCAACUAAUUGUGAGAUGUGAGUCCUCCCCACAGUAGCUUUCCUCUCAGCCCAUUAGAACCCUACUACCCCAAUGACAUAGUCACAGCUUACACCAGGUUCCAGACAGCCAGAUUGCUGCACAGCUCCCUAAGCACCUAACUGAUCAUUUUUUACAUAUCUGUACAUUAACUUUCCUCUGUCUGGCUGCUUGUCUGUCCUUUAACCCUUAGCACAUGUGUUGUCCCUUCAUCUCAAUGCUCUGUCUCCCUUCCUAGAAAGCUCUCCUGACCUUUCCCUGUUGUCAGGGCCGAUAAAAUUGGCUCUGCUUCAUCUUGACUUGAGGUCAGAGAGUUCAAGCCCACUAUUGCUCUUUCAAGGUGAAACAACAGAAGGUUUGGCCUAAGGUGUGGCUUGUGUGGCUUGCCUUGACAACGGGGUAUUUGUUUUAGGAUGCACUUAGUUGAUAUUUUGGGCUUUAAGAAGGUAAUUAUGCUUGCUUGUUCUUUGUAUCUUGGUAAGGAAGUCUUUUGCCUUCCCCUACUUUUGGUUGGGAUAUAUAAGAACUUUGAAUAAUAAACUUGGGGCUCAUCCUGAUAUUCCCCAGGUGCUCUACCAA